CAGUAGCCGCGGUAAUACGUAGGGUGCGAGCGUUAAUCGGAAUUACUGGGCGUAAAGCGUGCGCAGGCGGUUAUAUAAGACAGAUGUGAAAUCCCCGGGCUCAACCUGGGACCUGCAUUUGUGACUGUAUAGCUAGAGUACGGUAGAGGGGGAUGGAAUUCCGCGUGUAGCAGUGAAAUGCGUAGAUAUGCGGAGGAACACCGAUGGCGAAGGCAAUCCCCUGGACCUGUACUGACGCUCAUGCACGAAAGCGUGGGGAGCAAACAGGAUUAGAUACCCCCGUAGUCCCUGUCUCUUAUAA
rnacentral:rRNA from 1 species